CAUGAAUCUUCUUGCUUAACAUUGUUGGUUGGGCGUAAGAUUAGCUACUUGAACUUUUGCCCUCGACAACUACUACAUUAUGGUAGAACUCGAUUUCUUUGUCUUUAAAAAGUCUUUGACAGAUGGAUGAUUGAAUCCCAAGGAGGGACUUUUCGAUAGGAGAUUUCGAUCGUGGAAAAAUGUUACGGAAAUCACCUAAAAGUUCCAACUACAUGUUCAUCAUUGACAUUCCCUUGAUAAUACGAGAUUACACAUGUUCAUCAGUAACUUAUAUGUGAUUUCUCCAAAAAGGAGUCAAUAGAUGAGGAGAGAAAAUGGAUGGAGUUUGCCAAUUUGUUAGAGAUGGGCAAAGAAUAUACGAUUUCCACGACAUGCUACGUCUACAGGAAUGCCAAAUUAUGAAUGACGAAGUGGGUGGGAUUCGCUAAUUUGUUACAGCAUUUCUUGCCUGGAUUUGAGUUGGGCCUUGAAGAAAGCACAUGGCACACAUAUGUAUUCACAACUAUACUAUGGGGUGAGCAACUGCAGUCCAUAAAAUGGCUGCCUUAUCAGUCUGCCUUCUCGGACAUGGUUCAUCAGCCUCGACCUCGUAAAUUGUUG